rnacentral:rRNA from 1 species
UCCGGUGGCUAUGGCGGAGGGGCCACACCCGAUCCCUUUCCGAACUCGGAAGUUAAGCCCUCCAGCGCCGAUGGUACUGCCCGGGUAGCUAGGUGGGAGAGUAGGUCGCCGCCGGAU